GAUGAACGCUGGCGGCGUGCUUAACACAUGCAAGUCGAACGGAAAGGCCUGCUUUCCCUUGUGGGUUUCGGGUACUCGCGUGUCGAACGGGUGAGUACCACGUGCGUGAUCUGCCCCCAACUUUGGUAUAAGCCUGGGAAACUGGGUCUAAUCCCCGAUAGUACUGCAGGGUGGUGCCUGUGGUGGCAACCGAUUCUCUAGUGGUUGGGGCUGAGUUCGCGGCCUAUCAGCUUGUUGUUGGGGUAAUGGCAUACCAAGGCGGCUACGGGUAGCCGGCCGGGGACGGUGGACGGGCACAUUGGGACUGGGACACAGUCCAGAGGCCGACAGGAGGAGGGAGUGUGGAAUAAUGCACGAUGGGCGGAAGCAUGAAGCAGCGACGCCGGGUGGGGGAUGACGGCCUGCGGGUUGUAAUCUCCUGUCGACCGCGAGGAAGCCACCUGGUUGGAAGGGUGGUGACGGUAGUGUUAGAAAAAGGAACGGCUAACUACGUG
rnacentral:rRNA from 1 species